CCCAGCGCCGUCUGAGCCUGUCCUGAUAACGUGCAGUCAUUACAUUAGAUAUAAACCCAGCGCCGUCUGAGCCUGUCCUGAUAACGUGCUGUCAUUAUAUUAGAUAUAAACCCAGCGCUGUCUGAGCCUGUCCUGAUAACGUGCAGUCAUUACAUUAGAUAUAAACCCAGCGCUGUCUGAGCCUGUCCUGAUAACGUGCUGUCAUUACAUUAGAUAUAAACCCAGCACUGUCUGAGCCUGUCCUGAUAACGUGC